GUCCAACCAACAUCUCUCCUGAAAUUCAUGUUCAUUCAAAUCAGAUCAUUCUCCACAUCUGUAAUUAUUUUGAUCGAUUAUCAAUUUACCGACUGUGACGCGCUUUUUUUCUCCUCCUGAUAUGCCGCGUAUCAUUCCGUCUCCGACUAGCGAAUCGGCACAGUUUUCCAGACCUAGAAUCUGCACAGGAACGGAGUUCAUCAGAUCCGGAUCCACUCGUGGUGCUGCUCUAGAUCUGCUAUAUCGAUUUCUCUUGGCUGGUUGCUGUCUUCAGUCAGUACACCUCUCCUUAUACGUAGGUAAGUUGGUAACUUUUCGAUUGCAGCCCAUUUCAGUGCUUCUUCGUCAUCUUCAUCACGAAUUGAUGUUGAGAAAAGUUCCCUAUUGCUUCCCCUAAACAUUCUGGAACUGCCUAACCUGGUACUAUUCAUUCUCAACCCAUCACCACUUUCCAUUUUCAAUAUUCUAAAAUAGAUAAGCUUUUCUGAAAUGUAUCGUGAUGAAUUGUUUUGUGUUCUGUCUCUCUAGUGUGUCUAUUUAUAGAGUUUUAGAGCUUGUUUGAUGUGGGGUUUAUUUGAAAAAAGUGGUAUUUUUUGGGUUAAAAUACCAUGUGAUUGAGAUGAAGGUUAGUGUCAUAUGAUUGCUGACACUGUAGCUUAAAGGGUUAUAAAAUCAAUAGAUUACAUUUAAAAAAAAUGAAAACUUGCAUUGUCUAAGCAGCAGUAGAGACAAAUGUUUCCUUUUCAUUUUUUUAAAGUGUAAUCUAUUUAUUUAUUUUGUUCUUAUAAGCCACAAUAAACUCAUUUAUGUUAUCUCGAUUACACACAAAGUAAUAUCAUUAGGAUAGCUCAAGUUAAAAGAAUUUUUCCUAAGAAACCAUAAGUGUCAUGUUUGAUUACCACUAAGAACCCCCUAAAUUGAAGGGGUUUAUGACUGUCGGGUCGUGUUAGCUUACUUCAGAGAAUAAACUUUAGUUAAAAAAAAAAAAUGAUAAUAAUAUCUAUUUUACAGAUUCAGUGAGCAAUAACACAAAGAGUCUACUAUAGGAAGCAAAAUAGCUAUUAUCUUGGUAAAAUGUAUUAUUAAACUACAAUAUAAUAAUAGAAAAAUGUUAUGAAGCAUGUAUAAUAGGG